AGAAGUAAUGCAUGCCAAACAGCUCAGAGCAUGCCUUUCAGUUAUUUAGCACUACAGUCUUGACAUUUACCUAGACUGUCCAGUCUUAAUCUCCAUUGGUGCAUCAGGGAUGGAGGAUAUCAACAGAAGUGGCAAAAUUUUGAGGAAGAUAGCUGGCCAUUUAUGGAAAAUACUCAACAUGUUCCAGAGCUCUUCCUUCAACAUAUGUGGGUGCUGAACAAUUUGGCAAAUCAGUUUCAGAUCUGGUUAAGUUGCGCCCAUGCAAGCAAGAAACAGCCUUUUCAGCCAUUCCGAGGAUGAAAGAACUUGCAAUGGUAAAGCAUUUCCUUCAACCAGACUCCGGGCAAAGUUCACCAACUUAUCAUGGUCCCAGACAGGAUGCCUCAAAUUGUCAAGCUGCCAAGUGAGGAGGGAAUGAACUGGCUCUUCUUCUUUAUUCACCAGAUCCCAGAUUGAUCACAGCAAGUUUAACACACAAAGGAUCCACUUCCUCUUAGAUACUUUUCCCCUACACCAAAUGAAUUUAUAUUUUCAAAAUAGCCUAUGAGAAGUCAAUAGCCUAAUAACAUUAUUGCUGGACUAUUAAUCCAGAGAUUCAGGACAAGUGCUGGGAACCUGAAUUUGGUUCCUGCCAUGGCAGAUGGUGGAAUUUGAAUUCAAUACAAAUCAGGAAUAAAGGGCCCAAUUAUGACCGUGGAACCAUUAGUGAUAGUUGGGGGGAAACAAUGCUUCACAUAAGUCCUCAUGGGAAGGAAACUGCCAGUCUGGGUUAUAUGUGACUCCAGAACCACAGCAACGUGGGUGACUCAUAACUGCCCCCUUGGCAAUCAGGGUUAGACUAUAAAUGUUGGCCUGGCGUGUGAAGCCCACAUUGAGUGAAUGAACAAAAAAGAAACCAGGCUUUCCUGAUUUAAGAAAAGGCUAAAUAUAUUAAGUUUCCAAAUGGGAAAAGAAAUAAUAAUGCAACACACAUAUACAAGAUGAGAAAUAAGAAGUGAGACCAAAAUACAAAGUUACAAAAUACAAAAUAGAAAGUUAAUAGAUAUACAGGUAAGUCUCUAUGUCUCAUAUAUGAAGGAUAGAUUCUGGAACAUUGAUAG